rnacentral:lncRNA from 10 species
GCUGCGUCCGACCCCCGGCCGGCGCGGGUAUGGAGCUUGGGGGUCACUGGGACAUGAACUCGGCCCCGAGGCUGGUCUCGGAGACCGCAGAGCGGAAACAGGAGCAGAAGACAGGAACCGAGGCGGAGGCUGCCGACUCCGGUGCCGUCGGAGCCCGCCGCUUCCUGCUCUGUCUCUACUUGGUGGGCUUCUUGCAUUUAUUUUGUUUUAGGAUUUGUUUGGUGUCAGCAUGGUUGUGCCUUUAUUGAGCCUUCAUGUCAAGUCCCUUGGAGCAAGUCCAACAGUUGCUGGAAUAGUAGGUGAGUGGUCGAUAUUGCUCAUUUUUAGAGCACUGA